CCUACGGGAGGCAGCAGUGAGGAAUAUUGGUCCAUGGACGCAAGCCUGAACCAGCCAUGCCGCGUGCAGGAAGACGGCCCUAUGAGUUGUAACCUGCUUUUGUACGAGGGUAAAUCUCGAUACGUGUAUCGGUUUGAAAGUAUCGUACGAAUAAGGAUCGGCUAACUCCGGGCCAGCAGCCGCGGUAAUACGGAGGAUUCAAGCGUUAUCCGGAUUUAUUGGGUUUAAAGGGUGCGUAGGCGGUUCGAUAAGUUAGAGGUGAAAUCCCGGGGCUCAACUCCGACACUGCCUCUGAUACUGUCGGGCUAGAGUUUAGUUGCGGUAGGCGGAAUGUAUGGUGUAGCGGUGAAAUGCAUAGAGAUCAUACAGAACACCGAUUGCGAAGGCAGCUUACCAAACUACGACUGACGUUGAGGCACGAAAGCGUGGGGAGCAAACAGGAUUAGAUACCCUUGUAGUC
rnacentral:rRNA from 1 species